AAUCGUCGGCAUGUUGACACGAAAAUGAUUUUCAGCGCCGCUAAAACGACACGACAUACCGAUUCCCGCUAACUCGAAUCGAACGAUUUGCUGCUAAUGCAUGCCAGGACAUCCGUGAUCUCGCAUACUCGUACCGGCCUGUAAUGUAUUCACCGGGACGAAUCUGUGUGUAUCGGUACGAUCGCCGUCUUCUGACAUCUCUUUUGAAUGUUAUUCUUUAGAAGGAAAGGGAACUUGGAUGGAAGAGCGAUUCGUAUUCGUCAGUGCGUACGGCAAGAUCGAGACAGGGCACGUUUCGAACUUGCAAUUACGAUAUCUCGGGAAUCUGGUGUGUCAUUAUUAAAGUUGAUAAAAAAGAGGGAAGAGAAAAAGAAAGAAAAGAGCUUGUUUGACGGGUUUCUAUAGAUACGAAAUAAUAUUCGUACGCUUUCGAAAUUCUUGUUCUCGACGCCAUAUUUAAAAAAAUUCAAACUAAACUAAACUUUCACAUUUAACAAUUUUCACACACACAUAUAUAUAUAUAUAUAAAAUUUCAUCAACUAAUAAAGCACUAUUGAAAUCAAUGAAUCGUGAGUUUGUCGAGACUUUUGUCGAAACGAAUUUUGUCGUUCGUAAAAAAGUGAAAAAUAUUAUAAAACGUAACAAGAUAUACAGGAAAAAUGAUGAAGAGAAGAAAACAAAAAUAGGAGAUAAAAAUAAAAAUGAUCCGGCAACAGUUAGUCGCGAAAACAUCGUGGUAAUUACCUGAUUUUGAGCAUUCUGUUCGGCCAUCGCCUUCUCCUUCGCUUGCCUCUUGCACUUGUAUCGAUGAUUUUGAAACCAUAUUUUUACCUGUAAUGUGAAAAAAUAAUUUUUCCUAUUAGAAUGAAAUUAUCAUUAAUAGGAUUACAAAAAGAAAGAUAAGCAAUAUAUUGUUUCUGAUAAAACGAUUUAUAAGCUAAUAAAUAUAUUCUUUUAAUUUUUAAAUUUAUAAACAAUUUAAGAGGAAAAAGAAUCGAAUUAUUGAAUUUAAAUCUAACUUUUUUUCCUUCUCUAGCAUCAGAAGCGGGAGCAUAUUUUUGGUGCGUGAAUUGUCGUCAGGUAGAAACUGAAAUAUUUUUUCAAAGGGACCAAGUCUUUUAUCAUGUGUCUACGUUUUAAGUAACCUAUGGAACUAUUCGUAGUCCCCUUUAAACCUAUAAUCCACAGUUAUUAUAAGUUUAUUAUUCCUCCUAAAAAAAAAUUUAAUGUCUUCUGUUCACUUUGCUAGAUAUUUUAAAGAACGAUUUCGUUGCAUUUUGCUAUUGAUUCUUUAUUAAUAAAUUUUAUAAUUUUAUUUUAUUAACAAUUCUUAUUUUUAUUUAUUUAACAAACUAUAUUGAAUAUAUUUAAAAUGAAGAAUAGAAAAAAAACUUUUCUAAUUAUUUGAUAAAAAGAAAAAAUAUUUUUUCUCUUAAAAACUUCAUGAACUUUAAUCCCAUUUAAAUCUUCAAUUCCAGAAUUAUCAAAUGGAUCCUAAAAUAGAUUUCCCGCAAUGAGAUCAUAAAGAAGUUUUACCGAUGGGAUUCCUUCCGUGUACGAUGUUAAAAGGAAAAAACACCGCAGUUUUAUGAAGUUCCGACCCAGAAGCAGCCGUGUUACGCUCGUGAAACCGCUUUUACGGCAAUUGAACGCGAUUAGGGAAGCCGGCCGUGCGGACGGGAUCGAAAUCGGCAUCUGCUUAUGACAGCGGCGCGUUAUAAUCCGUAUUGUGCAUUAUGCUGCGUUCAUAGGGGCGCGUCCUGAUCAUCAUGGUAUUGUCGUUGAGUCGCGAAAACAAUGCUUUCUGUCGGCCGAUUUAAUCCUUAACACGAUCUUGCCAAGAUAAUGCCGUCAGUGUUAAACAGUGUUAAACAUCGAGCUUAGAACAUUAUCGAGGUAGAUUUAUAAUGGCGCAAAUUGGAACGAGUGAAUGAAAUUCGGUUGAAUUCACGGAGGCAAGGAAAACAGAAGAUUGAACAAUUUUAAAAAUGAGGACAAAGGGGCAAAUUAGAGGCAUGUGUGAAAGGAUCAAGUAUCGCAUAUAUAAAUCGCUCGUAAUCAUGGAAGGUGCUUAAAAACAAGAGGAAGAAAAAGAAGGAGCAAAGGUUGCGAAGAAAAGCGCUUUGUAUCUGGCGAGUCCUUUCGCGCGACUUUCCGCGUAUGUUUUGUGGUGCGACUGAUGCGUAGGGCGGAGAGACCUUAUCUAAAAGCCACGAAGAGGUACUAGACGAGGGAAGUACUCUCUCGCCGCUCCCGUUCGUUAAUUCCUUUUCCACCGAUAAUCCACUCGUUGAAGCCGGUGGAGUUUCGGGUGUGCGGCGACUUCGAGAGGUCUACAAACAGCCUUGCUUGCCUCAACGCGUUCUUGCAUUCUCUACUUUCACGUGUCACCCAUUCCUUUUUGUCCUGAGCCUUCUUGCCCUCGCGAGCUGGACGAUGCAAUUGAAAUAUGAAUGUAUAUACCUCGUUGCUGUUCUCGCGUUUGUUGUUUGCAAUUUCUUUUUUAUCUUUAGUUUAUAACCAUAUAAAAAAUUUACAAAAGUUUCAGAAAAUAUUUAAGACGUUUAAUAAUUAAUGUUAAAAUAAUGAAAUAAGAGAUUUCAAAAAGAAAAUGAAAAAAAGGAUCUACGAAAAGAAUCAAAAGGCAGGAAUGGCAAAAGAUUCGACGAAAUGAAGGCAGGAUAUAAACUGACAAAGAGAAUUGUUAUUUCAAGGGAAUGGUCUGUCCGUCAGUCCGUUUGUCCGUUGCUCCCACAAUGGUGCGAUUACGCAUCAGUUAACCUCAAAACGAACAAAGUUAACAUACGAAUUUUCUCGAUGAAUUUUUCUUCCUUUCAUUCAUCGUAAAAGUGAAGAUCGGAUCUAUUGAUCACAACUUUAUUUCGUUUCGUGCAUAUUUAAACAUUCCAUUCAGAAUAUUUAUCGGUCUUUAAUCAACGAUUAUCCACCUGGACACACCGGCUCCGCCUGUGCACAUGCCAUCUAUCUCUUACUUUGACAUUAAUUAGUGUAUCGAAUAGCGAUAAAUUCAGAGAGCAGUUCAUCAAAGCGGAGGACACGCGACAUUUGGGAGGAACAUCGAGUACCUGUUUGGCUUAUGCUCGACAGAGGCCCGAGAUCGUACAUCCGUUCGAGCAGGGAGUAUGCGGUUAAAGUGGACGAUUGAUCAAGUUAGCGUAAUGUCAUUACGUCGCGUACAUUGAGGGUUCACGCAAAAUCACCACCACCAUCGUAAGCAACGGAGUAUUGGGCGUUACCACCCUUCGUAGGCCCGCCAACUGUUUCCUCGGGCAAUUUCACUCGACACCAACAUUCGACGGAUUAUCCAAUGGAAACCCCCAUGUAGCCGCGGGCUGCAGGAUAGUUCACGGAUUGUUCCGAUGUUGCUCGAAAGAAAGACGCGUGUAAUUGACGAGAAUUGCCACUCGAGGUGUUCCGAACCGUUUCUGAACGCAUCCGUUUGCCUCGGGCUACAUGGGUGAUUUUCUUCUGAUCUAUUGUUGUUGGAAAUGAUCUUGGUACUCUCUUUUCUUCUUUUAAAGUUGAAUUGAAAAAUUUGUAAAAAAAUUAUUCGUCUUUUGAUUUUUUAUUUUCGUCAUGGAAGAAAAGAAAAUUGUGUUGGAAAAGUGUUGAAAAAGAUUAAAGGAGAAAAUAUUUAUCCAAUAUUCUCUUUUUUAUCAAGUGAUAUAAUGAAAUAUAAAAAGUGGAAUUAUUUUAGAAUCUGGAUAAACUUUCCCAAUGGAAUCUUCUACCAACUUAACUCAAAUUAUAAUUAUUUGCAGAAGGAGUUGGCGGCGAGGAAAAGUCGCAGGAAAAAGGGAUUUGCAAAGCUUGAUUUUAAGUCACGGACGUGUUUCCAUCGCAAAGUGCAAGG